GUUUAAACCAGCCAUGGUGGUACACACCUGCAACUCCAGCACAAAAAAGGCUGAGGCAGGAGAAUUGAAAGACUGAGGCCUACCUGGGCCAUAUAGUGCGAUCUUGUCUCAAAAACAUACAAACAUAAACCAACAAAAAGUUUGUUUAAACUCAAAACUGGGAUGCAUAGCAUGAUAUCUGUGAGGACUGUGGAGGCUGCACUGCUUCCGUGACCACAAACAGCUACUCAAAACUGCAGACCAUAUGUGCAGGCUCACAGGGUGAAUGUGCCCCCCAACCUCAGCCCUGGCCAGCUUAUAGCCCCAGAAAAUACUCUGCUGCCCUCUGAGAAACGGACUCCAAAGCUCCAGAGGCACUAUAAUAUCUAAAGGCAAGAGGCACACCAUCUCCAUUUUGCCUAACCCAAGCUGGAGACUGGUUACAGAAAAGAAGUGACUGUGGUUUGGAGCUGCCCGGUUCUGGGAUGGCUUGUUAUGCAGCAAUCAAUCAGACCAGCAUCAGUGAACCAUAUGGUUUGGGCUGCUUGACAAUCUUAAAGAAAUUAAAACUAUGAAAGGCCAAUGAGGAGACAUUAGUGGUUACUGUGUCCCUGCUAGCUGUGGAAGACUGUGGGUCUCUGCACAAACAACAGUGGUGGUGAGCCUUCAUCCAGUAGCUGAUGGAAGCAGAAGCAGAAAUCCACAGCUAAGCACUGAGCUGAACUCCUGGAAUCCAGUUGCAGAGAGGGAGGAGUGACAAACAAAGGGGUCAAGACCAUGCUGGGGAAACCCACAGAAACAGCUGACCUGAGCAAGUGGGAACCCAAGUUUUGACAGCUGGGGAACCAACAUAGGACCAAACCAGGCCCCCUGUACAUGGGUGUCUAUGGAGAACUGGGCAGUCUAUGGGACCUCUGGCAGCCGAACAAGGAUGUAUCCCUAGUGCACGAACGGACUUUGGGAGCCCAUUCCCCAUGACUCUCAAGGAUCAAAAAUCACGUGGUCAAACUGGAUGGAAAGCUCCUUUACUGGCUGAGCCAUUUCAUUGCACAAUGAAGUGCAGGUGCUCAGAGAGGCUAGAAAAGGGAAUAGAUCACUUGGAGAUGGAAUUAUAAGCAGUUCUUAGCCACCUAAUAUGGGUGGGGAGCCAAACUCUGGAAGAACAAGCACUCUUCACCACUGAGCAAGUUUCACUUUUUGCUGCAGCAAACACCAUAUGGCUUCUCAACAGUGUGCCUGCUUUUCAGAGCACUGCUUAAGCUUGGGGGCCAUUAGGCACAGUUAGGCUGAGCUGAACACCAGCACUGAGACUGUAGCAAUGUGAUAGCCAGGAUGGCUAAGUGAUCAGCAGGUGUUGGUGUGUCCAGCAUGUGUAUGUAGAGCAAGGGGAUGAUCUGUGUCCCUCCUUGGACAGAGCAGAAUUGGAAGUUGUUUCACCACAUGGAAGAAUAACUUGAGGAUUGCUUACUUCUGGAUUUUUGACACUCAAAUUUUCUGGUUUACAGUGAAACCACAAAUAAGGAGAGAAUAUGGUUUAUCUGGUUGGGUGAGAUGUUUGGCAAAGUCUGUGGUCUGUUUUCCACAAAGGGUUACAAUUGAUUUUGAAGUCAUUUGUAUAUUUUAAGUAACAUUACUGUAUCUGCUAUGUCUCUUGUUAGUAUUUUAUCUGAGUCAAUGGCUUGUCUUUCAUACUGUUACAGUCAACUUUUGCAAAGCAGAAUUUAUGAAUUUUAUUGAGAUCUAGUUUCUUUCCAUAGAUUGUGCCUUUGGUAGUGUACCUAAAGUCAGUGCCCAAAUCCAAAGGCAUUGACACUGUCACCUAUGGCAUCACCUAAGUUUUACAUUUAGAUCUGCAAUCAAUUUAACUAGGUUCUAAGUGUGUAUAUUCUGUGCCUAGACUGACUUUCAUUAGAUAUCCAUGAAUCCCAGUAGUUUUUCUAAAUGUUUUUGUCUUGAUGAUGUGACUCUUAUACCUGAACUCUCUAUUCUGUUCCAGUUCCCCUCUGCCAUGUCAUACUCUCUAGUCAGUAGUCUGUUGUCUACUAUAGCUUUACAUUAUGCUAUGAAGUCAACUCCUGUCAGCUGUUUAUUCUCCAAUGUUUUAUGAGCGGUUCUGGUCUUUUCCGUCUAUACAUGCUUUAGAAUCAAUUUGCUUACAAAAUAAACUGGCUGGGAUUUUCAUUUGGGCUGUAUUGACUCUACACAUGGGGGAAUCUGAUAUGCU
rnacentral:lncRNA from 1 species